AAAAAAAAAGGGGGGUUCAAAACGACAUCAUUUUGGAAAACUCUAAAACGACGUCGUUUUGGAAGAGUAAAAAAGAAAAAAGACCAGAGAUGUGUUUGCCUUUAGUCGGGGAAGAUGAAGAGGCAGAGGCGUGUAUGCCUUUACUGCCAUCCGUAAAAGAAGAAGAGGGGACCUGUAGCGCCCGGGAAAUUGAAGAAGAAGAGAAAAAAAAAAGGGGGGGGGCACGUCAGCAGUCCCGGCCAAUCGGGACUUGCCACGUGGCAAGACCACGUCGAUCCGGGACGGGCCACGUUGGCGAUCCGCGUAUGCACAAUCGGACGGCCCAGAUCAAACGUGCGAUCGG
rnacentral:lncRNA from 1 species